rnacentral:lncRNA from 1 species
UGAAGGGGGCUUUUGUUAUGACGUGUAAACCGUAUAGGAGCUGUGGUUCUGUGUGUGUGUGUGUGUGUGUGUGUGUGUGUGUGUGUGUGGUUCUGUGUAGUAGACCCUUAAGCAGUGAAGGCUGACCUUUUACUGAUGGAUUUCCCCUUAUCUUUAGGCAUCUAGUGUAUCCGGUAUAUCAGAGUGGCCAUGUGUGUGUGUGAGUAUGUCUCCCUAGGGUUGUAGACUGUCCCAAGGGUGUGUGUGUGUGUGUGUGUGUGUGUCGUCCAAAAGAUGGGAGAUCCCGAGGUGAGAACAACAUGACAUUUCAGUGCUGCUGGGGAAAAUGUUAACAUCAGCACUUCAUCAGGUUAUAGCACUUCAUCAGGUUAUAGCACUUUAUAGCACUUCAUCAGGUUAUAGCGCUUCAUCAGGUUAUAUCACUUCAUCAGGUUAUAGCGCUUCAUCAGGUUAUAGCACUUCAUCAGGUUAUAGCGCUUCAUCAGGUUAUAGCGCUUCAUCAGGUUAUAGCACUUCAUCAGGUUAUAGCACUUCAUCACUUCAUCAGGUUAUAGCGCUUCAUCAGGUUAUAGCGCUUCAUCAGGUUAUAGCACUUCAUCAGGUUAUAGCGCUUCAUCAGGUUAUAGCGCUUCAUCAGGUUAUAAUCAGGUUAUAGCACUUUAUCAGGUUAUAGCGCUUUAUAGCACUUCAUCAGGUUAUAGCACUUCAUUAGCGCUUCAUCAGGUUAUAGCACUUCAUCAGGUUAUAGCACUUCAUCAGCACUUCAUCAGGUUAUAGCACUUCAUCAGGUUAUAGCACUUUAUCAGGUUAUAGCACUUUAUCAGGUUAUAGCACUUCAUCAGCACUUCAUCAGGU